rnacentral:rRNA from 1 species
AUUGAACGCUGGCGGCAGGCCUAACACAUGCAAGUCGAGCGGCAGCGACUUAACCGAACCUCCGGGGAACGUUAAGGGCGGCGAGCGGCGGACGGGUGGGUAAUGCCUGGGAAUAUGCCCUGAUGUGGGGGAUAACUAUUGGAAACGAUAGCUAAUACCGCAUAAUCUCUUCGGAGCAAAGAGGGGGACCUUCGGGCCUCUCGCGUCAGGAUUAGCCCAGGUGGGAUUAGCUUGUUGGUGAGGUAAUGGCUCACCAAGGCAACGAUCCCUAGCUGGUCUGAGAGGAUGAUCAGCCACACUGGAACUGAGACACGGUCCAGACUCCUACGGGAGGCAGCAGUGGGGAAUAUUGCACAAUGGGGGAAACCCUGAUGCAGCCAUGCCGCGUGUGUGAAGAAGGCCUUCGGGUUGUAAAGCACUUUCAGUAGGGAGGAAGGUAGUGUAGUUAACACCUGCAUUAUUUGACGUUACCUACAGAAGAAGCACCGGCUAACUCCGUGCCAGCAGCCGCGGUAAUACGGAGGGUGCGAGCGUUAAUCGGAAUUACUGGGCGUAAAGCGCAUGCAGGCGGCCUGUUAAGUCAGAUGUGAAAGCCCGGGGCUUAACCUCGGAAUUGCAUUUGAAACUGGCAGGCUAGAGUCUUGUAGAGGGGGGGUAGAAUUUCAGGUGUAGCGGUGAAAUGCGUAGAGAUCUGAAGGAAUACCAGUGGCGAAGGCGGCCCCCUGGACAAAGACUGACGCUCAGAUGCGAAAGCGUGGGGAGCAAACAGG